ACCGGCGCACGGGUGAGUAACACGUAUCCAACCUGCCUCAUACUCGGGGAUAGCCUUUCGAAAGAAAGAUUAAUACCCGAUGUCAUAGUCCUACCGCAUGAUGGGAUUAUUAAAGAAUUUCGGUAUGGGAUGGGGAUGCGUUCCAUUAGUUAGUUGGCGGGGUAACGGCCCACCAAGACAACGAUGGAUAGGGGUUCUGAGAGGAAGGUCCCCCACAUUGGAACUGAGACACGGUCCAAACUCCUACGGGAGGCAGCAGUGGGGGAUAUUGCACAAUGGGGGCAACCCUGAUGGAGCAACGCCGCGUGGGUGAAGAAGGUCUUCGGAUCGUAAAACCCUGUUGUUAGAGAAGAAAGUGCGUGAGAGUAACUGUUCACGUUUCGACGGUAUCUAACCAGAAAGCCACGGCUAACUACGUGCCAGCAGCCGCGGUAAUACGUAGGUGGCAAGCGUUAUCCGGAUUUAUUGGGCGUAAAGGGAACGCAGGCGGUCUUUUAAGUCUGAUGUGAAAGCCUUCGGCUUAACCGGAGUAGUGCAUUGGAAACUGGGAGACUUGAGUGCAGAAAAGGAGAGUGGAACUCCAUGUGUAGCGGUGAAAUGCGUAGAUAUAUGGAAGAACACCAGUGGCGAAAGCGGCUCUCUGGUCUGUAACUGACGCUNAGGUUCGAAAGCGUGGUAGCAAACAGGAUUAGAUACCCUGGUA
rnacentral:rRNA from 1 species